CGAGACUGCCGGUGAUAAACCGGAGGAAGGUGGGGAUGACGUCAAGUCAUCAUGCCCCUUAUGACCUGGGCUACACACGUGCUACAAUGGACGAUACAACGAGUCGCGAGACCGCGAGGUUAAGCUAAUCUCUUAAAGUCGUUCUCAGUUCGGAUUGCAGGCUGCAACUCGCCUGCAUGAAGUCGGAAUCGCUAGUAAUCGCGGAUCAGCAUGCCGCGG
rnacentral:rRNA from 1 species